GAUGAACGCUGGCGGCGUGCCUAAUACAUGCAAGUCGAGCGAACAGACGAGGAGCUUGCUCCUCUGACGUUAGCGGCGGACGGGUGAGUAACACGUGGAUAACCUACCUAUAAGACUGGGAUAACUUCGGGAAACCGGAGCUAAUACCGGAUAAUAUAUUGAACCGCAUGGUUCAAUAGUGAAAGACGGUUUUGCUGUCACUUAUAGAUGGAUCCGCGCCGCAUUAGCUAGUUGGUAAGGUAACGGCUUACCAAGGCAACGAUGCGUAGCCGACCUGAGAGGGGGAUAGCCACCACGGGAACUGAAAAGAGGCCAAGCCGCCUAAGGGAGGGAGGAGAGGGAAAUCUUCAGAAAUGGGGAAAGGCGGGAGGACACAGGGGCGCGGGGGUAAUGAAGGUCUUCGGAUAGAAAAACUGUUUUAAAAGGGAAGAAAAAAGGUAAAAGUAAAAAUACAGGUCUGGACGGAACAAAAACAAAAAGCCAAGGCAAACUACGGC
rnacentral:rRNA from 1 species